CGACAAUGAAACUCUAGGUUUUAGUUUCUCACUUUAUUUUACUCGGUUACUCCUUCAAAAUUGCUUGAAUUUCUGUCUCCAUCUCUUUUUCUUCACGGUCUAGUUUAUCUAUGAAACCAUCGAAAAUGAGAGAGAAUGCAACCGAUCACUGUGAUGUUUAUGUACAAAUCAUACAUGAAGGAGGAGGUUCUGAUUUCCUAUAUAUCAUUUUCAUGCUUCUGAAUAUUUCGAUAAACAUCCAAUUAAGAAUGUAGUCGGAGAAGAUGGUGAAGAGAUUGAUUGGGAAGGGGAAAUUGAUGAGGGUUGGCUUAAGGUGAUUAAUUGUUUGGAAUGGGAGAGUUUCAUCCUAGUCCGUUAGUUGUUCUCAUCUUUGAAAGAUAUAACAGGGCUAGUGGUAACUGGAAGCUUUUGAAGGAGCUGGAGAAGGCCGCUAAAUUCUAUUGGAGUGCCAAAGAUCGGUUACCACCUCGAGUUUUGAUGGAAGAAAUUAUAACUUAGCAGACAGAGGAGCAAAGAUGGUCGUAGUGGUAAUUUUAUUUUUAUUGCUGCUGGCCAAGUAGUGGCAGUUAAAGUUGUGACUGGUGAUGG